ensembl:snRNA U2 U2 spliceosomal RNA
AUUGCUUCUCAGCCUUUUCACUAAGAUCAGGUGUAGUAGAUGUUCUUACCAGUUUGAUAUCUGAUACAUUCUCUAUCCAAGGACAGUGUAUUGAAUAGAGUUUCAGAGCUGGGGGAUGGAACUGGGGCUUGCUCAGUCCACUGCACUCACUGACUUGGUAUUGUAGUGCCUCCAGGUGCUGCACUCCCU